AUUGAACGCUGGCGGCACGCCUUACACAUGCAAGUCGAGCGGCAGCGCGGGGGCAACCCUGGCGGCGAGCGGCGAACGGGUGAGUAAUACAUCGGAACGUGUCCUGUCGAGGGGGAUAACCAGUCGAAAGAUCGGCUAAUACCGCAUGACCUCGUAAGAGAACAGCGGGGCAUAGCAAGACCUCGCGCGAUUGGAGCGGCCGAGGUCGGAUUAGCUAGUUGGCGGGGUAAAAGCCCACCAAGACGACGAUCCGUAGCUGGUCUGAGAGAACGACCAGCCACACUGGGACUGAGACACGGCCCAGACUCCUACGGGAGGCAGCAGUGGGGAAUUUUGGACAAUGGGGGCAACCCUGAUCCAGCCAUGCCGCGUGUGUGAAGAAGGCCUUCGGGUUGUAAGGCGCUUUCGGCCGGAACGAAAUCGCGCGGGUGAACAUCCCGCGUGGAUGACGAUACCGGAAGAAGAAGCACCGGCUAACUACGUGCCAGCCGCCGCCGUAA
rnacentral:rRNA from 1 species